UUAUGGUUGUGAUAGGAAUGCAUUGAACAAAUAAUGAAAGUCACUUUUAUGUGCUUUUUUCCCACAGACUCCCAGAGUGGACUGAGUCUUUGAAAAGCCCAAUCACCAUUCCAGUCUUCAGGACAGAUUUUAUUUUUAAGUAAUCUCUACACCCAACAUGGGACUCAAACUUACAGCCCUGAGAUUAAGAGUCACAUGGUCUACUGAUUGAGCCAGCCAGGUACCCCUAAUUUUUUUUCUAUUGUAAGUACUAGAGAAUCUUAUAUAAUUUCUUCUUCCCUACUGUUGCUACCAUUAUUUUUUAAAUCAAAUUUGCUACA
rnacentral:lncRNA from 1 species